CCUACGGGAGGCAGCAGUGGGGAAUUUUGGACAAUGGGCGAAAGCCUGAUCCAGCAAUGCCGCGUGAGUGAAGAAGGCCUUCGGGUUGUAAAGCUCUUUUGUCAGGGAAGAAACGGUGUUUUCUAAUACAGAAUGCUAAUGACGGUACCUGAAGAAUAAGCACCGGCUAACUACGUGCCAGCAGCCGCGGUAAUACGUAGGGUGCAAGCGUUAAUCGGAAUUACUGGGCGUAAAGCGUGCGCAGGCGGUUUUGUAAGUCUGACGUGAAAUCCCCGGGCUCAACCUGGGAAUUGCGUUGGAGACUGCAAGGCUAGAGUUUGGCAGAGGGGGGUAGAAUUCCACGUGUAGCAGUGAAAUGCGUAGAUAUGUGGAGGAACACCGAUGGCGAAGGCAGCCCCCUGGGUCAAGACUGACGCUCAUGCACGAAAGCGUGGGGAGCAAACAGGAUUAGAUACCCUGGUAGUCCACGCCCUAAACGAUGUCUACUAGUUGUCGGGUCUUAAAUUGACUUGGUAACGCAGCUAACGCGUGAAGUAGACCGCCUGGGGAGUACGGUCGCAAGNUUAAAACCGUUAAAUGAAGUAGACGGACGUGAGACGUGCCGACGGACGACGACGAGGGAGGAGG
rnacentral:rRNA from 1 species